AUUGAACGCUGGCGGCAGGCCUAACACAUGCAAGUCGAACGAGUGGCGGACGGGUGAGUAAUGUCUGGGAAACUACCUGCUGGAGGGGGAUAACUACUGGAAACGGUAGCUAAUACCGCAUACCAUCAGAUGUGCCCAGAUGGGAUUAGCUUGUGGGUGGGGUAACGGCUCACCAAGGCGACGAUCCCUAGCUGGUCUGAGAGGAGGACCAGCAACAAGGGAACUGAGACACGGUCCAGACUCCAACGGGAGGCAGCAGUGGGGAAGAUUGCAAAAUGGGGGCAAGCCUGAUGCAGCAAGGCCGCGUGUGUGAAGAAGGCCUUCGGGUUAUAAAGUACUUUCAGCGGGGAGGCGUUACCCGAAGAAGAAGCACCGGCUAACUCCGUGCCAGCCGCCGCGGUAAUUC
rnacentral:rRNA from 1 species